rnacentral:lncRNA from 1 species
CAAAACGAGAUGUUGUCGGGCUGCGUUCGAAACCAUAGACAUAUAAAAUACCUAGACUCCUCAUUGGCCGCUGGAUCGUACGUCAACGCCAUCUUGGUGCGGGCAUCUUUUCCAUUGUUCUCAUAAGUGGACUCAAGAAAAUGCCUCAGUCGUGUGCUGCUUGGGGCUGUACAAACCACCGCACAGUUGAAAAUAGGUCUCGGGGAAUUACUUUUCACAAGUAAGACUGAAAAGUUGUUGACUGACACUGAUCUGGUUGUAUUUGGUCAUUAAAACAUUAUGUUGACACAACUUGACAGUAAUUGACCGUUGGAGUCAGACUAUUAAUAGCUAGCGAUAUCGCUAUUUAGCUGUGAGUCGAGGAAACCAGAAAUGUUACAUUCUUUCUUAUAUAGUUUUAGUGUAUGGUAAAUGAUAUAUCAUAAACUAAAUUGCCCGUAAUCGAGAUAUUCAUUUAUAUUGCCGUUUUUUUCUCAAAACUGACUCUUUUGCCGACCUACUCGUUUCGGCUAAGCGGCAUGAAUCUAAUUUAACGUUAACCGUUAGUAGUUGGCUAGCUGACGUUAGCUAACUCUUCUCACACAUUGAAGGUUUCCCAAAAACAAAGAGUUGAGGAGGCAGUGGGAAGUAGCUCUAAGAAGAGAAGGGUUUUCCGCAAGCGAGUCCUCCGUGCUAUGCAAUGAACACUUCAAGCCGGAGGACUUUGACAUGACAGGUCAAAUUGUGAGGAUUAGGGAUGGAGCUAAACCAUCGAUCUUCAGCUUUCCCCCUCAUCUACAAAGACCUGUGGCAACCAGGAAAACAGAGGCCUCAAGGAAAGCUGAGGAGAGCUGGUCAGUGGACUGUUCUCAGAUUUUCCAAGAGAUCGAACCUCCUCUGCCUAAUGUUGUUUAAAGCAUCCUUGCUAAAUAAAAGUAGUAAUUUCUAUCAUUUCUUUCCCAAAGAAAAAAAUUAUACUGACUCCAAGCUUUUGAAUGGUAUAGUGUAUAAUGUUACAAAAGCUUUUUAUUUCAGAUAAAUGCUGAUCUUUAGAUCUUUCUAUUCAUCAAAGAAUCCUGAAAAAAAUGUACUCAACUGUUUUAAAUAUUGAUAAUAAUAUUAUCAGAAUGUU